rnacentral:rRNA from 1 species
UACGAAGGGGGCGAGCGUUGUUCGGAAUUACUGGGCGUAAAGGGCGCGUAGGCGGCCCCUUUUGUCGCGUGUGAAAGCCCCGGGCUCAACCUGGGAACGGCGCGCGAAACGGGGGGGCUUGAGUUCGGGAGAGGAGAGUGGAAUUCCCAGUGUAGAGGUGAAAUUCGUAGAUAUUGGGAAGAACACCGGUGGCGAAGGCGGCUCUCUGGACCGAGACUGACGCUGAGGCGCGAAAGCUAGGGGAGCAAACGGG